rnacentral:snRNA from 1 species
GUGCUCACUUCAGCAGUACAUAUACUAAAAUUGGAAUGAUACAGAGAAGAUUAGCACGGCCCCUGCAUAAGGAUCAUGAUGCAGUCCAUAUUUUU